CCUAAAUAUUGACCCCCGACACAUUUUUUGGGAUCCGCCGUUUUUCCAUGGAGCUGGGGCGAAAACAGAUUUAGAGAAAGAGCUAAAGAGCGUUUGUUUUUUACAAAAAUGAAAGGUUGAAGGUCUUCAUCUUUUUCAUGGACCCUAAACUCUAAGAUCUAGAUCUAUAGGGAUCCAAUCAGUGCCGUUUUCAUCUUGGAGCUAAGGGUAGAGACCAAAAGAAUUCUCCACCAGCUGCUUCUUCAAUCAGCCGCAAAAAAUGACCCCACUCCAUCGAUUCAUCUGUUUCCAAAAAACAUGUCGUGAACUCUUUUUCCUUCGAAUUCCAGUUGCAAUCGAGUGAUGAAUUUCAAUCCGGUUGAGGCCCUGGUUUCCGGUUGGUUGUCCAGUUAAAGAACCUUUAAAGAUUCAGGCCUUUGAGGUGUGGAUUUAUUUACCGAAGUUUGAACAUGACAGAUACCCCAGAAUCACUGCAUUCAGGAGCUGCUCGAGGAGCCAUUUAUGUUUUUGAGUCAAUUAUUUUUGUUUUAUUUUUCUAGUCUUGUAUAGUAGUAUUUAGUCUUUUAGGUGAUGUUAGAGUUUGUAUUGUCUAGUUAAGUUUGUAUAGUCUUUUGUUACUGUAUUCCUUAUUUUGCAUUUGGAAAUGUGUUACAAGUAAAAAUCCAAAAAAAAGAGAUGUUGCAUUUUAUA